rnacentral:lncRNA from 1 species
CGUGACAAAUUGUAAACUAAAGUAUACACCAUAGUGUACAUAUAGCAAAGUUCAUUGCUCUCUCACCCAUUGAUGAACUGAAUUGCCCUAAUUGCAACGGCGGAUUACUAGAAGAAUCCCACAUCGCCCCUCUCUCAAAUCGUAAUACUUCCGACAUUGAUGAUAUCAAUAAUUCUUUUUUCUCUGGUAGUUUCCCUCCCACCGCGACUUUUGGCAGCUUCCCUUUUGUCUUCUCCUCAUCUUCGACCACUGUUGCCUCGGGUGCUGCUUCAUUUCCCAUUGGAAUAGGACUUGAAGAUCUAUCCACCGUCUUGGGUAGUGGCAACGAUCACCGUUCAGGUCGAUCUACCAAAAAAUUCAACCCAUUUACCUUUCUAAACAACUACAUUAGCAAAAUCCAAGGCUACGGUGCGAAUGUUCAGCUUGUUUUUGAAGGCCCUGAUGGAGAAUGAGUAGAUUUCCAACUUUAAAUGAAUCUCGGUGAUUAUUUUAUUAGACCAGGUUUAGAAUAAUUAAUUCGGUAACUUGUCGAGAAUGAUCCCAACCGGUACAGGACACCACGUGCAUCGAAAUUUGCAACGGAGGGUAGCCUGAUAUAAAGAUCAAGGAGGAGAUGCUGAGCUCGGAUUCAUCCCAAUGUGUCGUGUGUAAGGACAAUUACGAGUUAGAUGAGGAGGUGAGGCAGAUGUCGUGUAAACAUUGACAAGUGUAUUUUACUCACGAGUUUAAGGCAAUUUUAACUUGAUUUUAAGCUAGAUUUCACGAGUAUAAGAUGUUUUUAAUGUUUGUAUUAAUGUUGUUUUAUAGGUUUAUCGAGAUGGCGAAGGAUACAAAGAAAGAUCACUAAAUUGAAGUUAGUGGCAUGCAUGGAAAAGAAGUUGUGAUACAGGGGAAAAAUAGGCAAAGCAAAGAUGGGACGAAUGACACCAAAACUCAAUAAACCAAGAGAGAACCAGAGUGUGGGUGCCGCGACACCACAUUUAGGGCACUACGGUGCCCCACACUCCAGAACCUCGACUCCGCAGUGCUGAGAGAUAUGAGGGUUGUCGCCACGGCGCCCACCCAAACCGUUGCGACGCCAACCCGUUUAGUUUCGCGGUGCUGGGUGCACUUCGGCCCCGUUUUUUAGUGCAUAUGAAACACCUAUUAUUCAUACACGGCAAGGGACCUAUAAAAAUGAAAAAUCUCACACUUCAAGGGGCUACACACAUAAAGAGGCGAAAAAUACAUCUUGGGAGAAAAAAGGAAAGAUUCAAAGGAAGAAAACAAUGACAAAUUUAUCGUGUGAAGUAUCAAUUGGAAGAGGAAGGAAUCCUUGGUGCAAGAUUUACUUUUUCUUCUACAUCUUUAAUUCUAAAUCCGAUGAUAUAUUCUAAGACAAUUUGUUAUUUCUUUUCUUUCAUUAUGUGCAGCUAAAUCCAUUGUUAGGGUGAAUAAUGUAAGCAAUUUGGGACCCUUUAUAUUUUCUUAUUAAAAUUCUUGAUUUUUAAUUUUUCCAUGUGUUAAUUUUUGCUAUGUAUUGAUUGCAUUAAAUUAUCUGAUCAAUAACUUGAUGAAUUUUGUAAAUCCUUUACGAA